rnacentral:rRNA from 1 species
GCAAGUCGAAUGGGUUUAGACCCAUGGCAGACGAGGUAGGAACACGUAGGUACGUGCCCAAGAGUCAGGGAUAUCCCGGCGAAAGUCGGUGUAAUACUCGAUAGUCCCUUCGGGGUAAAGAUUUAUCGCUCUUGGAACGGCCUGCGGUCUAUCAGCUUGUUGGUAAGGUAACGGCUUACCAAGGCUACGACGGAUAGGGGGGGUGAGAGCCCGGUC